UUUUCAGUAUAUAAAUACAGUCACCAUUCACGUUUCCUCGCAGACACGUUACUUGAUUCAAAAGUAGUACAAGAUUCUUGGGCUCAUAGGGUUGACACUCCAACCUCCCUAGUCGCCACCGAUGACGUCAAGAUCGAUCUCUUCGAAGACGAUGAUGAGUUUGAAGAGUUUGAAAUCAAUGAAGAGUGGGAUGACAAGGAGGAAGGAAAAGAAGUGACUCAGCAGUGGGAGGAUGAUUGGGAUGAUGAUGAUGUUAGUGAUGAUUUUUCUCUCCAGUUGAAAAGGGAGCUGGAGAGCAACACUAAUUAGAAUUAAACCACCUGGUAGUUAUUAUUGCUUGAUAUAACAUGCUAUAUGACUUGGGUGUUUAAGCUCUAGGAAGGAAACUGAAAAUGAAAAAUAUGCCUUGGUAGGAAGGAAAUGUAAGACUGUAAGAACACAUAAUAGGGACGUAGUUUUUCUGUUCUUGAACAUCUGUGUAGAAGUUAUUGAGUGCUUGUACUUAAAUUGAAUUCUGCAUAAGGCUUUAAAGAUUUGAUUUACAAUCUCAAAUUAUUUGCACUUAAUCUUCA